rnacentral:rRNA from 1 species
UUAAGUUAUUAAGGGCGCACGGUGGAUGCCUUGGCACUAGAAGCCGAUGAAGGACGUUACUAACGACGAUAUGCUUUGGGGAGCUGUAAGUAAGCUUUGAUCCAGAGAUUUCCGAAUGGGGAAACCCAGCAUGAGUUAUGUCAUGUUAUCGAUAUGUGAAUACAUAGCAUAUCAGAAGGCACACCCGGAGAACUGAAACAUCUUAGUACCCGGAGGAAGAGAAAGAAAAUUCGAUUCCCUUAGUAGCGGCGAGCGAAAUGGGAAGAGCCCAAACCAACAAGCUUGCUUGUUGGGGUUGUAGGACACUCUAUACGGAGUUACAAAGGACGACAUUAGACGAAUCAUCUGGAAAGAUGAAUCAAAGAAGGUAAUAAUCCUGUAGUCGAAAAUGUUGUCUCUCUUGAGUGGAUCCUGAGUACGACGGAGCACGUGAAAUUCCGUCGGAAUCUGGGAGGACCAUCUCCUAAGGCUAAAUACUCUCUAGUGACCGAUAGUGAACCAGUACCGUGAGGGAAAGGUGAAAAGCACCCCGGAAGGGGAGUGAAAUAGAACCUGAAACCGUGUGCUUACAAGUAGUCAGAGCCCGUUAAUGGGUGAUGGCGUGCCUUUUGUAGAAUGAACCGGCGAGUUACGAUUUGAUGCAAGGUUAAGCAGUAAAUGUGGAGCCGUAGCGAAAGCGAGUCUGAAUAGGGCGUUUAGUAUUUGGUCGUAGACCCGAAACCAGGUGAUCUACCCUUGGUCAGGUUGAAGUUCAGGUAACACUGAAUGGAGGACCGAACCGACUUACGUUGAAAAGUGAGCGGAUGAACUGAGGGUAGCGGAGAAAUUCCAAUCGAACCUGGAGAUAGCUGGUUCUCUCCGAAAUAGCUUUAGGGCUAGCCUCAAGUGAUGAUUAUUGGAGGUAGAGCACUGUUUGGACGAGGGGCCCCUCUCGGGUUACCGAAUUCAGACAAACUCCGAAUGCCAAUUAAUUUAACUUGGGAGUCAGAACAUGGGUGAUAAGGUCCGUGUUCGAAAGGGAAACAGCCCAGACCACCAGCUAAGGUCCCAAAAUAUAUGUUAAGUGGAAAAGGAUGUGGCGUUGCCCAGACAACUAGGAUGUUGGCUUAGAAGCAGCCAUCAUUUAAAGAGUGCGUAAUAGCUCACUAGUCGAGUGACACUGCGCCGAAAAUGUACCGGGGCUAAACAUAUUACCGAAGCUGUGGAUUGUCCUUUGGACAAUGGUAGGAGAGCGUUCUAAGGGCGUUGAAGCAUGAUCGUAAGGACAUGUGGAGCGCUUAGAAGUGAGAAUGCCGGUGUGAGUAGCGAAAGACGGGUGAGAAUCCCGUCCACCGAUUGACUAAGGUUUCCAGAGGAAGGCUCGUCCGCUCUGGGUUAGUCGGGUCCUAAGCUGAGGCCGACAGGCGUAGGCGAUGGAUAACAGGUUGAUAUUCCUGUACCACCUAUAAUCGUUUUAAUCGAUGGGGGGACGCAGUAGGAUAGGCGAAGCGUGCGAUUGGAUUGCACGUCUAAGCAGUAAGGCUGAGUAUUAGGCAAAUCCGGUACUCGUUAAGGCUGAGCUGUGAUGGGGAGAAGACAUUGAGUCUUCGAGUCGUUGAUUUCACACUGCCGAGAAAAGCCUCUAGAUAGAAAAUAGGUGCCCGUACCGCAAACCGACACAGGUAGUCAAGAUGAGAA